rnacentral:rRNA from 1 species
CGUAAUCAAGCUACCCUCGAGACCGGGAUAACAGCGGGAAACUGCUGCUAAUACCGGAUGGACUUUCCGGAGCGCAUGUUCUGGAGGGUAAAGGUGGGGGAUCCUGCGGGACCUGCCACUCGUGGAGGCGAUUGCGGCCUAUCAGCUAGUUGGUGGGGUAAUGGCCCACCAAGGCGACGACGGGUAGCAGGCCUGAGAGGGUGGUCUGCCACACUGGGUACUGAGACACUGCCCAG